UGUGGGGCUCGAACCCAUCCCCAUUGAGAUCAUGAGCUGAGCCGAAGUCAGACGCUCAGCUGACGGCCACCCAUGUGUCCUGAUAGUAUUUUUUUUCAAUGAGGAGCGUUCCUUUGAAAAUCCUAUUUCUAGCUUCUCUUCUAAUCUAGGGCUUGGGCAGCAUCUGUCUUCUUGAAAUGGGGCCUAGGGCUUCAUUCACGGGGGGCCACCCAGCCAGCUGCCCUUGUUUAUAUCCCCAGUCUGGCUGGUUCCUUCUGCAUUUAUAACUCUCUGUUUCACAGAGAACAGAGCAGCAGGACUUCCCAGAGGACAGAAGUGGGUGUCUUCCUGUGUCUUCCCCGGGUCCUCACAGCCUAGGAUAGAUCACAGGUACUGACUUGUGGAUGGCCAACCUGGAGCUUCAGGUCAACAGGGUCCUUACACCCUUAGGGGGAGCAGAGCAGUGCUUGCAGUGCCAUGACCCAAGCCAGGGGCCACACAAGGCCACAGGAGGUGGCACCUUCCUGAGGAGUAGAGUGACCCCACCAGCUUUGCAGAACGUUCCAUCAUCUUGCUAGGCAUGAAGAGGCUGGCAACUGGUACGUGUGGCUCUGAGGCAGGGGAAUGGAUGAAGGUGCACGUGCGGUCGGCGUGUGGAGGCCCUUUCCCUGGGUGGUCUCUGGUGAGUGGUGUGCGUGCCGAGGGAUCUGCUGGCAUCAGAGCAAGUACGUACAUCAUGUGUGUGUGACUGUGACAGAUGAGGAGCCUAUGUCUUGAACAGAGGGCAUGAAAUGUGUGUACAGCAUCUGAAGGAAUGUGCUUAAUGGUUAUCAUCACACAGCUCUUUUAUCGCAUAUUGUUUGUUUAAUUGAUAGCAGUUCUCCCUCCUCCAGGAUAAUUCAUUCGGGUUUCACAUUGAGAACAGAACUCAACCGUCCAUCCUCACUUCACAGGGUGUUUGAGACUGAUCUCCUGGUCCUGGUUUGCCUGUCUGGUUAGUUGGUUAGCUAGCUAGCUGAGCGGUCAUACUUUUAAGUAUCCCGAGUGGGUUUCCUGUCUUUUCUGAGCCACAUCUUUGGCUUGUUGUGUGACAUCACCAAAUCCCUGUUCUCUGUGUCAGCUCAUUGCUGCAGAAUGCUUUCUUCCCUUCUUUCUUUUUUUCAAUGUUAAUGAGUUUAAGUUACUUCAGAAUGUAUGAGAUUCUUCUCUCCCUCGUGUUGGAUAUUUGAGGGGAUGCAAAUAAACCGAACAUUUAUCAGUCCUCUCUUCUCUUAAUUGAACAGGGGCCGACUGCGGUGAGGCUUGGUAUUCUGCCCAAAGAUGUCCCUGAACAUCCACAGCUGGGCUUCUGUCAGCUCUGGAAACAACAAGGACAGGCCAGGGCGAAGGUGCCUCGGCAUUUAGAGCUGGAGCCUCUCGGCGCGUGAACAAAGCCUGUUUGAGGCACCCCGUUUAAAGCCCUGCUGAAUCCAUGAUGGCCGAGUCCUACCUUAAUUGGCAACCAUCUGCCUCCUACAGCAGUUCACGGGGAGCUCAUGCCAGCCUUUAGGCAGCUUCCUAUUUUGGAAAUGAUUUGUGAUUCAUAAUGAACCAAAGGUUGCUCUUCAGGUGACCUGUCAGGACCUGAGCUCUUUUUCGGACGCUCAACCGACUGAGCCACCCAGGUGCCCCACAAGUAGCCACUGUUUUCAGUUUGGUGAAUACCUCUGCAGUCCUUAAAAGACAGUCUCUUCAAAUAUUAAGAAUAUUUUUAUUUAACUUAAACCAAAACUAUAAAUCUAUUACAUUUCGCAAAAGGCCAUUUAGUGAAAAGGUACACACGCAUAGUGACUCGGUUUCUUUCAAAUACUGUCUCCUCUCUGGCUUAAGAAUCCUGUAUUGCUUUGAAAGGUCUUUGGCCAGGUCAGUCCUCUUCCCAGGUGACAGUAUUAAUGGUGUCGUACGUGGGUAAAGUGUCAGUCACAGCAUUUAGAAGAUGAUGCCCACCCCCAUCCGUUUCCGGUCCAGGUGGGUUAAUCAGAGACACAGCAGUGGCCGUGGCUUGGGAAAUCCCGUCUGUGUUUCUGGGUGUGGAUCCAAGGAUAGUUUUAAGACAUGGUGGUACUUUUCCUAAAGCCAGUACUCAGCCUCCUUCAGAUUUGUUACUGCCUGCCUCAAUAGUUCCUUUUCACCCACGUCGCCGGUGAAAUUCUCGUUCAGGGGAAGCAAUUCAUCGCGUUUUCUGCUUUGGGAAAACAGGAGCUGUGUUUCCUGAAGUAAGUUUGGUAAAACAUCUCGCUUCUCCUUGAGCUGCUUGAUCUCCGAAUCGGGGUGUUCGUGUUGUUUUCUUUCCAGUUCUGAAGGGGCAGCAGUCGAAGCAGACAGUGUCUGGUUAUCGUCCUGGAGGGUUCUCAUUGUGGCAUCUUUUUUCCUGCUUUGACUCUCUGAGCUCCUCUACCUCUUGAUGGAGCAAUCGAGAAGACUCACUCGAUACGUCAGACUUAAUUGCCUUAGGAGAGCCUGCUGACUCGGAUGAUUCGGUGGAGGGCUGGAACGAAAUGAUGGCGAAUUUCCCUAAAAGCAGAUCCUUGCCAUUGCAGAGCUCCGCGGUGCUGAGCUGCAUUUGUGUCAGUCCUGUUUCGGAAUUUUUUUCGUUUGAUUUCGUUUCCUUCGUGACUCUGGACCAGGCCAGUACAGGUCAUCUGUAGUCUAGGAUUAUUGUCACGGUGAGUUUGGCAAAAUUGCCAAUAAAGCCUGACAUUCCUGCCUUAAUGCAUCCACUCCAGUGUCUUUUUCUUGAAUAACGUGUGACAAAUUCUGAAUCGUUUCUCUAAACACGUCCUGGUCGCUAGACUCAAUUCUAGUGAAUAUUUUCCUCUUACAGCUUCAUGAGAUAUGCUUCUUUGGCAACCAUUCUAUCUGUCAUUUUGUGGUACUCUCUGUUCAGAUUGCUGUUUUCCCUAGUUCUCCUGUAAGGCAGCUAAUACUUGUUCUCUUUCCAAAGCAUACCUUGCAAUUGCUGCUGAAGGUUUGCCACAUUCUGGUUGUAGGAAGCCACAGACGUCCUGCUGGGGCGGUCGUCUCUCUCCACAUCUUUUUGCCGGAUAAUCUGAGUUAGUUUACCAGUCUCCUCUUUGGAUGGGUGUUCAGUCUGUUCAGUUAAUCAGAUGUUCUUUUCAGUGAGGAGUUUAAUCUCCAAUUCUUUUCUUUUCUUUCUUUUAUUUCUUUUUUUAAUUUUUAAUCUCCAAUUCUUGGCCUUUUGUUCCUUUUACUUAAUCUUUCAGUUUCAGCUUCAGGUAAAUCAUGCUUUUCACUUCCGUUUUUCUACAGGAAGAUGCUGAAUCGUUGUUACUUGAGAAACAUCAGAAUGUUUUGUAGGAAUGUGCUGGGUUUUUGAAGGAUCUGGGCUUUCAUUUGCUCUACUGUGUUCUGCAAAAUCUUAAUCUCCUCAUCUUUCGCUAAAAGGAGCUGAGCGUGUUGAAUGUUCAUUUGCUCAUGCUGGUGUGUUAGAUCAUCUACCUUCCGUUUCUGGUCUUGUAAAGAACGAAGCCAUUGCAGCUUAGCCUGGCGUUGAUCCUCAAUGAUCUUUUGUUGUUGUUUGAUUUCGUCUACCAGACAGACUCUUUCUACAUUCAGCUGAUACACCUCGGAUUCUAGUUCCAUGAUACAGUCUUGCGUUUGCGGGUCGACCACAGGUACGGUUUGGCUGUGUUCUCUCAGACACUCCAAUUCGUCUUGCAGAAAUUCAUUUUCUUCUCUGGUGGAUGCAAGACGAACGUCUUGCUCCUCCACGGUUUGCUGUAAAAUUUCGUUUUCUCUUACGACUUGGACGUACUUCUCUAAUAGCUCCUGGAGCUCUGGCCUUCUCUCAAGUUUUUCAAUACAGAUUUCUUUCUCUUUAAUAAGUUGUGUCAAUCGCUUAUGCUCCUCCAGAGCAGAGGAGAGCAUUUCCUUAGUGUCUCUAUGGUCGGCAUCCAUCUGCUCAACACUCUUUUUGAGUUGUAGUAUUUCAUCGUCUUUCUCUUGACUGCGUUGAAUUAAACACUCCUGCUCUAAGUGGGAGGAGGACUUAGACAAGUGAUACGUGUUGGUCAGUUCUUUAAUAGCUUGCUCAUACCUGGCUGUUUCCUCCAACAGCUUCUUUUCAGCCCGGCACAAUUUUACGAUUAACUGUCCUUUUUCUAUUUUUAAGGCCCGCGUAAUAGAUUUUGUUUCCAGAGAAUUCUUACGGUUACAGACAGUAGUUUCUUCCAGCCGACGUCUUACGUCUUCAAGCUCCAAAACCAACUUUCCAUUUUCCACCUUGAGAUUGCAAGCAGCUUUCUUUAAAUUGCCAUUCAGCUCUUCCAUUUCUGAAAGGCUUUGCUGCAACUUUCUAACCGUCGUUUCCCUCCGUGGAAGUGAGUCAUCUUCAACAGUAUUGUCAGAGUCUUGAUUAAGAGACUGUGCUGGCUCCUUCUCAGCUCUAGCAGAUUCCUCCUCGUCUUGUUUAAUAUGUUCCUUAAGUUCAACGUUCUCCUUCGGGAUGUUUAAAGUAUGUGUUUGCGACGGAUCUGACCGAUGCAAAUCAUUAACAGCCAGUUGACUUUGAGGUGAUUCUUCGUUUUGCGCAUCUAAGUCUUUAGCUCUGUCCAUUUGCUCCUCUUCACAUGGACAAGCUCUCUUUUCAUCAUUGAGAUCGUGUUCCACGUUGCCGUUGAUGCCGUUGCCUUCAUUUUGUGGUUCUGAUAGCUGACCUUUCAUCCAAACCCUGGGCUGUGUGGUUUGUUUCUGUCCAUCGAAGUCCCCCAGCUCUGCUGUUGGGAGUUCCUUCUCGGCCCUACCCUGAGUGGAUUUUUGUCCGUCGGCCUCCAAGUCACGUCUUAAAUGCUCUCCUUCUGAAUCCAAAUUCACACCUCCUGGAGCCGUACGUUCAAUGACUUCCUGCUCAUGGCUCACUUUCCAAAGUGCCAGUUGAAGUGCUUCCCGUCCGUGACCUAAUGAGUUUUCUUGUUCUAAAACGUAGAGUGGCUCUUCAAGUUUCAGAUCGUCUCCAAUGAGAUUGUCACCCUGGGUUAAGCUACACCGUGGCGUCAUCUCCUUUUCCGCAUCGGACAGCACUUGCCGCAGUCCAGACGCUUCUUCCACCGCUGUACUCUCGGAAAGAACUCUUUCCUUUUCCGUCACUGUAUCACUUUGCCUCAACACGGAAGGCUGCGAUUCCCAUUCUUCAAUCCUCUCUUUCUUUUCCUCAUGUAUCCGGUCCCAUUCUCUCCUUAAAGCGUCUCUCUCACUUUCUACCGAAGAUAAUUUGCUAUUGAUGUCUUUGACGGUGUCCUCAAGUUCUUCAAUUUUCCUGGUAGACUCUGCUUUUUCAGUCUGUAGCACUUGAAUGGUGUUUUGCAUAUGCUCAAUGACAGACUCAUCAGCUGCUCUGAGUCCAGAGUCGUCCUUCUCUAACAGAUUUUCCAGUUCUUUGAUUCUUUUUUCAUAGCCUCUUGACUUUUGAUGGUACCUGCGACGUAUCUCUGCCAGUGUCUGUUGAUAGACGUUCUGCAGUACUGCCUUUUCAAGUUGAUGGUCAUCAAUUGCCUCCUGUCGAUUCUGUUCGAGUUCCCUGAUGGUAACCUGCAGUUUGUAGAUUUCAUUUUGCUCGGCGCUAUUCGCUCCCGGUGCUGAAGUCUGGGACAAAUGCUUCCGAUGGCUAACUUCAGCCUCCAGUCUUAAAACUUCAUUUGACAGUCUGCUUAUUUCUUGUUGUGACCAAAUGAGGUCAGCAAAGUCCAGGUCAUCCCCCGGGGAAGCUGACGCAAAGUAGUUGAUACCGUAACCCAAGGAAGGUGACGCUGUGGUGGAUUGAAGGGCUGAUUGGAGCUCCAGCAACUGGUUCUUGAGCCCUAUGUGUCUCACUUUAAGAAGUUUCAUUUCUACCUCUUUCUGUUGCAGCUGAUGUCGGUAGCUAAGAGUCUGCCGCUUUAUUUGAAGCUCCGAGGCUUCAUACUUCUCUUCCAGGUGACUACAAAGACUUUUAAGUCUCUGAUUCUCCGAUCUUAAGGUUUCCCGACUCACUUGACUCUCUUUUCGGUCAGAGUCAGGUCCUUCUCCCACCUUGUCGGUUCCCUCCACCCGCACAUCUUUGAUGACCUCCGAGAUGCGGUCAGUGAAGGAAGCCACACUGCCACCCACUUGCUCUAGGGAAUGGCCCAGGCCACCAAACGAAAAGGACAUCGCUGCGGGUCACAGAACUGACCUGGUCCGCUCGGCAAAAAGCGUCCAGCGCAGUCGGACAGUCCCGCUAACUGUCUCCAGAGGGAGGCCUGCGCGAGGCUAAAUAUCAAAUCACAAUCAGGCGUUUCUAGGCAACGCCACACCGCACGCGGGGCUGCUAGGGUCCGCGAGAGCCCUGCCCACGACCUCCCAUCCCUUACCCUCCCCCCACUGCCCCGCGGCCAUCCCUGGGGGUCCCCAGGUACCUGUGAGCACCUGCGGGGGAAAAUGCCUCUCGCCUUGGACUUUCCCGGGAAGUCCAAUCAAAGCACACAGCGCUCUGCAGCUUGUGGUUUCCAGCCGCCGCAGCAGCCGCGGUAGCAGCCGCAGUCGGCGCAGCAGCAGCUCAGUCGCCGCACCCGCCACAGUAGCACCCGCGGCCGGCGCAGCCGCCGCCGCUCAGCCGCCACCGCAGCCGCAGUAGCAGCCGCAGCCGGCGCAGCAGCAGGCGCAGCAGCAACCGCCGCUCAGCCGCCGCAGCCACCGCAGUAGCAGCCGCAACCGGCGUAGCCGCCGCCGCUCAGCCGCGGCGGCAGCCGCAGUAGCAGCCACAGCCGGAGCAGCCGCUGCCGCUCACCCACCGCCACAGCCGUCGCAGCAGCAGCCGCCGCUCAGCCGCAGCAGCCGCCGCCGCCGC